rnacentral:rRNA from 1 species
GUUUGAUCCUGGCUCAGAAUGAACGCUGGCGGCGUGCUUAACACAUGCAAGUCGUACGAGAACUCUUCUGCUUGCAGAAGAUAGUAAAGUGGCGCACGGGUGAGUAACGCGUGGGUAAUCUACCUCUAAAUCGGGGAUAACCCGCCGAAAGGCGAGCUAAUACCGGAUAAUAUCUUUAAAACUUAGGUUUUUAAGAUCAAAGGUGGUCUCUACAUGUAAGCUACUGUUUGGAGAUGAGCCCGCGUACCAUUAGCUUGUUGGUAGGGUAAUGGCCUACCAAGGCCGCGAUGGUUAGCUGGUCUGAGAGGAUGAUCAGCCACACUGGAACUGACACACGGUCCAGACUCCUACGGGAGGCAGCAGUGAGGAAUUUUGCGCAAUGGGGGAAACCCUGACGCAGCAACGCCGCGUGAGUGAUGAAGGCUUUCGGGUCGUAAAGCUCUGUCAAGUGGGAAGAAUCUGCUCGAUGCUAAUACCAUCUAGCACUGACGGUACCACUAAAGGAAGCACCGGCUAACUCCGUGCCAGCAGCCGCGGUAAUACGGGGGGUGCAAGCGUUAUUCGGAAUUAUUGGGCGUAAAGGGCGCGUAGGCGGUCUCUAAAGUCAGAUGUGAGAGCCCGGGGCUUAACCCCGGAAGUGCAUUUGAAACUCAGGGACUUGAGUAUGGGAGAGGGAAGUGGAGUUCCUGGUGUAGCGGUGAAAUGCGUAGAUAUCAGGAGGAACACCAGUGGCGAAGGCGACUUCCUGGACCAAUACUGACGCUGAGGCGCGAAGGCGUGGGGAGCAAACAGGAUUAGAUACCCUGGUAGUCCACGCAGUAAACGGUGAACACUAGGUGUAGCGGGUAUUGACCCCUGCUGUGCCGCAGCUAACGCAUUAAGUGUUCCGCCUGGGGAGUACGAUCGCAAGA